GACGAACGCUGGCGGCGUGCUUAACACAUGCAAGUCGAACGAAGAGCGAUGGAAGCUUGCUUCUAUCAAUCUUAGUGGCGAACGGGUGAGUAACGCGUAAUCAACCUGCCCUUCAGAGGGGGACAACAGUUGGAAACGACUGCUAAUACCGCAUACGAUGUAAUCUCGGCAUCGAGGAUAGAUGAAAGGUGGCCUCUAUUUAUAAGCUAUCACUGAAGGAGGGGAUUGCGUCUGAUUAGCUAGUUGGAGGGGUAACGGCCCACCAAGGCGAUGAUCAGUAGCCGGUCUGAGAGGAUGAACGGCCACAUUGGGAGUGAGACACGGCCCAGACUCCUACGGGAGGCAGCAGUGGGGAAUCUUCCGCAAUGGACGAAAGUCUGACGGAGCAACGCCGCGUGAGUGAUGACGGCCUUCGGGUUGUAAAGCUCUGUUAAUCGGGACGAAAGGCC
rnacentral:rRNA from 1 species